rnacentral:lncRNA from 1 species
AUAAUGGGGGGGUUUGGUUUUGACGAGAAGUAAAUUAAACUUAAAUAAAUUACAGAAUUGACAAAAGCAUGAAUUAAGGUGAAACGAUAGGUGACAGACUAGCUAGAGGGUUCUUCUCCACACAUGACACAUAUGCAACCUAAAUUGAUUUUCAGUUGUUCUUUCAAUAAAUUGUAAAUCACAAUGUUCCAAGUUAAUUAGGUCCGCUUAAAUUAACUCUUAGAUUUCCCUAGAUUCAUUGGAUUGAAUGGAAUAUGCAUUACAACCAAAUUAUUCCUCAUCAAAGUCCCUAACUAUGGAAUACGCAUGAUAGAGACAUUCAACAAAGAUCAUUAAGUUCAACGGAAAUCAUAAACAUUAACUAGGCAUUCAUAACUAUGGAAUACGCAUGUUAAUCCAGCCUAGAAUUCACUUAACACGAUUAUGGAUAACAACCUUCACUACUUGUGAAUAUAAGUUCAUAACGAUUAGGUGAAAUUCACUUAUAUUCUAGCAUCAAAUUCAUGCAUGUAAAUUAAGUAUGCAUCCUUAAUCGACAUACAAAAAUAAGUUAUCAAUCAAGUAGUUAAGCAAAUUAAAUCACAACUCAGAAAUCACAACUGAAGGUAAUCAAUUCAUAUUACAAAUAUAUUCAUGGCUUUGAAUUAACCUCUAGCCAAAAUAAAUUUAGUUACACAUUAUUAAAACAGAAAUAAAAUAUAAGUUUGGAAAGAUUUAACCGAAAGAGAAGAAGCUUUGCUCUCUGCCGUCUGUUCCUUUCUUCCGCCUCUGUCGCGUUUGCUCUCUUUCCUCUUUCUGUCUCUGACCUGCGUUCCGUGGACUGCGCUCUGACCUCUCUCCCCUCUCUGUUCCGUGUGCUUUUCUGCUGUCCAGUCCUCCCCGCGCCUUGUGCGCACUGCCCCCUCUCCCCUCUCUGUCGCGCUGCCCUUAUUCCUUUGUUUUCUGAUUUUCUAAGUUGCCUCACCCACCACACUCACACUUUUCUUUUAUUCUUCUUCCACCUACCACACUUACCAGCUGCCGAGCCCAGUUUAAUAUAUUUCUUUUGUUUUCUUUUGUUCCACCCACAAACAGCCUUUAGAUAUAUCAUAUAUAUAUAUAAAUGUGAUGCACCAACCUGAAUUCAGUGGAUAUGGAAGUAUAUCAUCAGUGGGUAUGGAAGAUGUCACGCCAUAUAAUUUCUAAUGCAUACCUAACAAAUUUAGCCUAACUUCCAUGACCUAUAAUCCGUGACAUAAUUCUACCAAUAACCCAUGACAGAAUGAGAACGACUAAAGCAAUUUUCGACGAAUUUAUUAUUUAAAACUCAUUUGUGCCAUUUUUAUUUUCUUUGCAUAACAAAUCCUAUAAACACAAAAAUAACGUAAAUAGCUCAAAAAUAUAAGGAACUAACUAAUAAAAGACGAGUGAAUUUGAAGUAAAAAUAUAUAUAAAUAUGAUCCGAUCAAGCUCAUCCUUGAUUACACAAGGGAUUCACCCAAGUGGAGGGCCUUCAGGUCACCUCCUUGCUCCUUGGAUCUUCCUUGUGAUUUUCCUCCUUUUAGUGCUCCUUUGCUUCUUUGAGGAUUUGAGGAUUAGUUCUCUAAAACAUCAAAAGCUUGAUGUCUCUAAGUCUCCACACCAAGAAUGAAGUGUGAAGAUGAAAUGGAUGACUUAGAGAAGAAAAGAUUGCUAGCUAAAUCCCCUCUAAGUGGCCGGCCUCUUUAGAGAAAAUGAGAGAAAGUGUUUCACCUCAUUUCACCAAGAAAAACCCUAAUGAGAAAUAAAGCUAUAAAGUUGAUUUUUAUACUUCAUUUCAAGUGAGUGGCAAACUUGUAAUUAAUCCAAGUUUGCAACCCUCACCCUU